rnacentral:lncRNA from 1 species
CCCACCAGGCACCGGUCGAUGAUCUCGUCCUGCUGCGCGGGCGGCAGCCGCGCCCACUCGGGCCCGUACUUCUCGCGGAUCUUCUCCUUGUCCUGCAUGAUCUUCCUGGCCAUGGGGCUCAGCGACGAGAACUUGGCUUGAAGGAGUACUUUAGGACUCAGAACAACAGGAUGAAGACAGCAGCUAAAAUAGAACACACCAGCAGAGACGUUCAGCUCCUUGAGCUGUGCUUCCGAAGCUCAAGCAUGGCAGAGUGGCCUUGUUAAAUCAGAGUUCAGGGUGCCACCCUGACAGUUUCUGAUUCCGUUACCAGACCGGAGCCUCCAGCAAUCCAGGAGCACAAACAAGGAUGCCUUAAAACAAAACUUGUGUCAGGGUACCCUUCGCUGCCUCAGAGGAAAUCAGAAUGACCUGGUGGACAACUGUUCAUAAGGACAAGAGCCAGUAUCACUGCCUUUGAGUCCCAGCCUCCUCAAAUCCAUUUUCUGCCCUGCACCACCUCAUCAUAUCCCGGAUAUUGUUAGUGUCGUGUCAUUUCAUGACUCAGGAGCUGCGGGUGACUUUGGCUGCCCUGACAUUUGUUAAAUUGGCUCCUGGGUCCUGGUUUGCAAAUGUUGCCACUUUGAGAUCCGUAGAUGGUCAUCCCUGGCUCCCUUGGGGAGUGUCCUGGAAUCCACCAGCUCCAUCUGCUCGACAAGAGACUUGAGUUUGUUCUGUUACCUCUUUCAUCAUUAGCCAAAGCUCCGGGACUUGGUUAAAACUUUAGGCAAUUAAAAAGACUGACUUAUGGA